GUAAAUAUAGUUUAACAAAAACAUUAGAUUGUGAAUCUAAUAAUAAAAGCCCAAGUCUUUUUAUUUACC
ensembl:Mt_tRNA